rnacentral:sRNA from 1 species
GCCGGGCACAGUGGCGUAUGCCUGUAAUCCCAAUGGUUUGGAAGGCUGAGACAGGAGAAUCUAGAGUUCAAAGCCAGCCUCAGCAAUGGUGAGACGCUAAGCAACUCAGUGAUAACCCUGUCUCUA